AUUGAACGCUGGCGGCAGGCCUAACACAUGCAAGUCGAACGAGUGGCGGACGGGUGAGUAAUGUCGGGGAAACUGCCUGAUGGAGGGGGUUAACUACUGGAAACGGUAGCUAAUACCGCAUACCAUCGGAUGUGCCCAGAUGGGAUUAGCUAGUAGGUGGGGUAACGGCUCACCUAGUCGACGAUCCCUAGCGGGUCUGAGAGGAUGACAAGCCAAACUGGAACUGAGACACGGUCCAGACUCCUACGGGAGGCAGCAGUGGGGAAUAUUCCGCAAUGGGCGAAAGCCUGAUGCAGCCAUGCCGCGUGUAUGAAGAAGGCCUUCGGGUUGUAAAGUACUGUCAGCGGGGAGGCGUUACCCGCAGAAGAAGCACCGGCUAACUCCGUGCCAGCCGCCGCGGUAAUAC
rnacentral:rRNA from 1 species